rnacentral:lncRNA from 1 species
CAAGUUUAAAAACAAGGUAAAGAUAUAUCAUGAUGGAAAGAGUUUGAAUAAUAAGUUGGUUAUCCUUCACAAUGUAUUUGUGAAUUAGCAUGAACAAAGUUUUGGCUGAACAAGUAUUGAACAGGAACAAUAGUAUAUCUGGACCAACUGGUAAUGAAGGUGAUCAGCCUUUCAUACCUGACUUAUACAUGCAAGAUGUACAGAGUACAAUUCAUAAGCAUAUCUGUCUAAAACCACUCUUAAAAGAGUUUAAGUAAAAAGAACUUGCCUGAACCGUUGAUUACCGUAACGCAAUAUAAUACGCUCCUCCUGAAGACCUAAUAUUAAUAAUAUAGGUCUCCAAUAUUAGAAUAAUAUCAUCUCAGUUAUAAAAUAACCUAAACACAUAACACAUAACACAUAAUCCUAUCAGUCUAUACAACAUAUAAAACCUAUAAUAGAUCUUCCGGUUAGUCAUAAAAUAUAGUUAAGUAUUAGACAUUAGUUUUAAGUCUUAAUGUUCUUAUUAUACUUUGAUAUUCUUUUAAUCACAUCAUAACUUGUACUUAUAAGUUAUUCAUUUUUAUAUGUUAUCCUAGUAAAUUAGAUAACAUCUUAGUAAACCGAAAUACCAUUUCAGUAAGACGGAUUUCAUUUCAGUAUCCUGAAAUCACUAUUCUUUUUCACAAAAAAUACCAAAUCAACUUAUUAUUUUUCUAUCCUUUGGUCAAACACAUAUACAUAUAUUUCAUACACAAAAAUUAUUUUUCCAUAAUUUUCCAAGUUCCUUUAGUAUUUUUCAAAAAAUCAUUUAUAGUUAAUUCCUUAAGAAAUUAGCUACCUUGUCCUUAACUCCAGAAAUUCCCAUCUUCUGACACAAUCUUACACAUGUUAACGUGACACUCCAGUUUAAAUUCCGUGGCAAUCGGAGUUGUAGAACUCCGGUUAUAGCCGUUUUUGUCGGAAAAUCACAAAAAUUGAAAUGGUCAUAACUCGGUCAUUUUAAGUCGGAAUUAGCUCAUUUUUGGACACAAGGUACUUAAUACCAUAUAUUUUCAUUUCCCAAAAGGCCGGAAUUUAUUUCAUAAAUUAAAUUACCGAAACAGCCCUCUCAAAAUAUUAGCAGCUUACUUUUUGUCAAAAACAGUUUUGGAGUCCUUUACUAAAUCUUAAAUAAAAUGAGAUCUUAUCUCCGAUUAAUGAUCCGUCAAUUUUGUUGGAUUCGUAUCUUUCCGAUAUACAAUUUUCAUCUAUCACAAUCCAUAUUUGGACAUGUUAAGCUCCCGGAAUUUAGCCCGGAAGUGGCUGUUAAAAACUGUUGCUCUAACAGUUUUUCUUACAUUUGAGUAGUUUGGGAGAAAUUUCAUAACUCUCUCCUCCGAUGUCGGAUUUAGUCCGUUUCAGAGUCUAUGGAAAGCUUAUUGAGUGUAAUAUAACAUACCAAAAGCCCAGAAUUUUUAGAGCAAGCUAGCUAACACCGAAAAUUUCUUUUUAGGUCAGCAGUUUACUAGUUUUCACACUUUAGAAAAAUAGUUUUCUUUCCCUUCCUUACUUAAGCUUUUCACUACCAAAAAUGGUUAGAUCUACUCAUUAAACACUCUAAAUCAUGUAGAUCUAGAGUUUUGAAGAUCAAGAACAUAACUCCAUGUUUUGAUUUAAAACAACAAGAAUAACUAGCUAAAUGUAGUUUCAUACCUUAAUAUCUUGCUAGCCCUUCUUAAUCUUUCAAAGUUGAUGAUGAUCUUGGUUAGCUUGAAGAUCAAAACUUCUCUUCUCUUCUCUCUUUCUAUUUGAUUUUUGUUAGCUAACUAGGAAGUGAGAUGAAAGAGAAAGAGAAUGGGU